GCUCGCCCAGCCAAAUGUCAAGCCUGCCGUAAGGAACUUCGUUCCAAUAAUAAAGUAAUAGUAAUAAUAGAUAACACAUCCGCGGUAUUUUCAUCUGUGCGAAUAUAUUCUAUGUCAAAGUCGUAAGCCGAUAAUUUAAUCUUGAAUAAUACGCCAGGAACGUUUUUAAGCGGAAUAACCAUACAUUUUUGAAAAAUUCCAUUACUGGAUGAUAGUCAAUAUACGAGGCGAUUUUAAUAGACCUCGAGCCUAAUUGAGCGUUACCUUAUAAUCUGCGCACAAACGAAUCCCGCCGUUCGCCUUCCUCGCUAUAGCGAGGCGUCCAGCCA
rnacentral:misc_RNA from 1 species